CUUUUAAAGGAUAGAAGUAAUCCAUUGGUUCUAGAAACCAUCCACCCU
rnacentral:tRNA from 1 species